AGAGUUUGAUCAUGGCUCAGAUUGAACGCUGGCGGCAGGCCCAACACAUGCAAGUCGAACGGUAACAGGAAACAGCUUGCUGUUUCGCUGACGAGUGGCGGACGGGUGAGUAAUGUCUGGGAAACUGCCUGAUGGAGGGGGAUAACUACUGGAAACGGUAGCUAAUACCGCAUAACGUCGCAAGACCAAAGAGGGGGACCUUCGGGCCUCUUGCCAUCAGAUGUGCCCAGAUGGGAUUAGCUAGUAGGUGGGGUAACGGCUCACCUAGGCGACGAUCCCUAGCUGGUCUGAGAGGAUGACCAGCCACACUGGAACUGAGACACGGUCCAGACUCCUACGGGAGGCAGCAGUGGGGAAUAUUGCACAAUGGGCGCAAGCCUGAUGCAGCCAUGCCGCGUGUAUGAAGAAGGCCUUCGGGUUGUAAAGUACUUUCAGCGGGGAGGAAGGGAGUAAAGUUAAUACCUUUGCUCAUUGACGUUACCCGCAGAAGAAGCACCGGCUAACUCCGUGCCAGCAGCCGCGGUAAUACGGAGGGUGCAAGCGUUAAUCGGAAUUACUGGGCGUAAAGCGCACGCAGGCGGUUUGUUAAGUCAGAUGUGAAAUCCCCGGGCUCAACCUGGGAACUGCAUCUGAUACUGGCAAGCUUGAGUCUCGUAGAGGGGGGUAGAAUUCCAGGUGUAGCGGUGAAAUGCGUAGAGAUCUGGAGGAAUACCGGUGGCGAAGGCGGCCCCCUGGACGGAGACUGACGCUCAGGUGCGAAAGCGUGGGGAGCAAACAGGAUUAGAUACCCUGGUAGUCCACGCCGUAAACGAUGUCGACUUGGAGGUUGUGCCCUUGAGGCGUGGCUUCCGGAGCUAACGCGUUAAGUCGACCGCCUGGGGAGUACGGCCGCAAGGUUAAAACUCAAAUGAAUUGACGGGGGCCCGCACAAGCGGUGGAGCAUGUGGUUUAAUUCGAUGCAACGCGAAGAACCUUACCUGGUCUUGACAUCCACGGAAGUUUUCAGAGAUGAGAAUGUGCCUUCGGGAACCGUGAGACAGGUGCUGCAUGGCUGUCGUCAGCUCGUGUUGUGAAAUGUUGGGUUAAGUCCCGCAACGAGCGCAACCCUUAUCCUUUGUUGCCAGCGGUCCGGCCGGGAACUCAAAGGAGACUGCCAGUGAUAAACUGGAGGAAGGUGGGGAUGACGUCAAGUCAUCGCGGCCCUUACGACCAGGGCUACACACGUGCUACAAUGGCGCAUACAAAGAGAAGCGACCUCGCGAGAGCAAGCGGACCUCAUAAAGUGCGUCGUAGUCCGGAUUGGAGUCUGCAACUCGACUCCAUGAAGUCGGAAUCGCUAGUAAUCGUGGAUCAGAAUGCCACGGUGAAUACGUUCCCGGGCCAUGUACACACCGCCCGUCACACCAUGGGAGUGGGUUGCAAAAGAAGUAGGUAGCUUAACCUUCGGGAGGGCGCUUACCACUUUGUGAUUCAUGACUGGGGUGAAGUCGUAACAAGGUAACCGUAGGGGAACCUGCGGUUG
rnacentral:rRNA from 1 species